rnacentral:rRNA from 1 species
CAGUAGCCACGGGAAUACGGAGGGGGCUAGCGUUGUUCGGAAUUACUGGGCGUAAAGCGCACGUAGGCGGCUUUGUAAGUCAGAGGUGAAAGCCCGGGGCUCAACCCCGGAAUUGCCUUUGAGACUGCAUCGCUUGAAUCCAGGAGAGGUGAGUGGAAUUCCGAGUGUAGAGGUGAAAUUCGUAGAUAUUCGGAAGAACACCAGUGGCGAAGGCGGCUCACUGGACUGGUAUUGACGCUGAGGUGCGAAAGCGUGGGGAGCAAACAGGAUUAGAUACCCCCGUAGUCCCUGUCUCUUAUAC